AGUGUUGUCGUCAGCUCGUGCCGUGAGGUGUCGGUUAAGUCCCAUAACGAGCGCACCCUUAUCGUUAGUUGCCAUCUGGUAAAGCUAGGGGACUCUAGCGAAACUGCCACCGUAAGGUGAGAGGAAGGUGGGAUGACGUCAAAUCAGCACGGCCCUUAUGUCCAGGGCUACACACGUGUUACAAUGGCCGGUACAGAGGGCAGCUACCUGGUGACAGGAUGCUAAUCUCGAAAACCGGUCUCAGUUCGGAUCGAAGUCUGCAACUCGACUUCGUGAAGCUGGAUUCGCUAGUAAUCGCGCAUCAGCCAUGGCGCGGUGAAUACGUUCCCGGGCCUU
rnacentral:rRNA from 1 species